rnacentral:rRNA from 1 species
AAGGGAGAGUAAUACGUGGGAAUCUGCCCUUAGACCUGGGAUAGCAGCGGGAAACUGCUGGUAAUACCAGAUAAUGUCUAUGGACCAAAGGUGUGAUUCCGUCUAGGGAUGAGCCCACGUCCUAUUAGCUAGUUGGUAGGGUAAUGGCCUACCAAGGCGAUGAUGGGUAGCGGGUGUGAGAGCAUGACCCGCCUCACUGGGACUGAGACACUGCCCAGACACCUACGGGUGGCUGCAGUCGAGAAUCUUCGGCAAUGGGCGCAAGCCUGACCGAGCGAUGCCGCGUGCGGGAUGAAGGCCUUCGGGUUGUAAACCGCUGUCGAGGGGGAGCAACUUCCAUAGAGUUAUCUUUAUGGAUUGAGUGAUCCCUGGAGGAAGGACGGGCUAAGUUCGUGCCAGCAGCCGCGGUAAGACGAACCGUCCAAACGUUAUUCGGUAUCACUGGGCUUAAAGAGUUCGUAGGCGGCUAAACAGGUGAGGUGUGAAAGCCCUCGGCUCAACCGAGGAACUGCGCUUCAAACCGUUUAGCUAGAGGAAGACAGAGGUGAGCGGAACUGAUGGUGGAGCGGUGAAAUGCGUUGA